rnacentral:lncRNA from 1 species
GAGCUGGAAAAUAGAGAUUUAAUGCAGUGGGGAACGAGGCAUACUGAGAUGUUUUGAACACCAGGGCAAUCAAACAACCGUUGGGUUGAAGAGCUGGUUGUAUCAGAAUGGAUGGCAUCCAAGUAUGAGCUUACGUGACAGAAAAUUAUAUGCACUUGAAAUAUACCACUACGAAAUGCCAGCCUGACAUUUAUAGGUACUAUAUCUUUAAGCAAUCUGGUGAUUAUCUGUGUCCCUGCAGUGCUGCUCUCCUCCUUGGCUUUGUAAUACCCCAGUGUGUCUUUGAUCACUAUGAAGAGUGUUGCCAAUUUAGGAAAUAUCUCGAAAGGAAAUUAAUCUUGAUUUCCAUGGACAUCUGAAGAGUUUCCUCUUUGGCAGGAAUGGGGAAUCCAGCCUUUUCCAAUAGUGGCAACAGUAGUAAUUACCUGUGGGGAUGAAACACAAUUCUGCCUGGACUACUCCUAAAAAACAAUAUUCAGUAAUAUCUUAGGCAUUGUAUAUACAUUAUCUCAUGAGCCCAAUAAGGCAUACUGUACUAUUAGAUUCAGUGAGGGUGAAGUACCAUGAAACUAAGAAUAGCCUAGGGUCUCCGGCUGGUGAGUCAAAAGUCAGAAGAAGAAUGGGAACUUUAAUCCCAUGCUUAGUGUGUGGCACAGCCCUCAUCAGGGUCUAUGUUCCGUUCGGAGAUCUAGGUUAGGAGAUAAGGUAAGUUGUUUAAAAAAUUUCUUGUGAUGAUAGGAAAGAAAAUAAGUCACUCCCUCCUCUUGUCUUUAGAAUUAUGCAGUGGAGAAAGCAAGAAGGAAAUCAUCCUUGUAUUGAGUUGGACAAUGGAAAGUGUCCACCAGGAAAGCAGAAGUGUGUCACAGCAUUCUUUUCAAAGGAAGGUUCCUGAGGAACCAAGCACAGCUGCCUAUGGAUCAGCAACAUGUGUGCCAUGGACGGAAUUUCUCUCCUUCCCCAUUUUAUUCCUUGUAGGCUUUUAUUCCUGUAUUCCAGGAGCAUUGUUAUAUUUACAAAAUAAACUUCUUAAAAUGCAUUUUUGAAAUCAAAUUUCAGUUUUGAGGGGAAUACAGAUUGAGACAGUAGGGUGUCAAGAAAGGAGCAACACAAACUUCUGAGAGAAGAAAGGGGGCAUUUGUCUGGGCACAGUGCUGGGAUUUAGUGUGGUUUUAUCUCCUCUGCCAGAUCCUAAAAACUGGAAUCUUGGAGGCUUUCACAGGAUUUAUUUACUUCAUCUUAAACUUCUAUAUUUAUCCUUAAGUCUCAGACACUCUACAGACCUGGGAUUCUAACCAACCAAUCCCAGUGAUUGAUGUCUCUGCCAUGUCUGUGCAGCUCGCUACUGCUUUCAUCCAGUAACUGAUGGAAGCAGAUGCAGAGAUCUACAGCCAAGCACUGGGCUGAGCUCUGGGAAUCCUGUUGAAGAGAAGGAGAACAGUCAAGUUCAUCACAAGGGAACCCACAGAGGCAACUAACCUGGGCUUAUAGAAGCUCACAGACACUGGACCAAAAGCUAAGGAGCCCACCUGAAAAUGACCUAGGCACUCUACUUAUGUGUGACAGUUGUAUAGCUUGGUCUACUUGUGGGACUCCUAGCAGUGGGAGUAGGGCCUGUCCCUGAUUCUUUGGUAGGCUUUGGCAAACUGUUCUUCAUACUGUAUUGCCUUACCAAACCUUAAUAUGAAGGAAUGAGCUUAGUCCUGCCCCAACUUGAUAUGCUGUACUUUGCUGACGCUUAUGGGAGCCUGCCGUUAGAAUAGAAGCAGAGGAGUGGAUUGGUGAGGGGCAGAGAGGAGGCAGAGGGAGGGAAUGGGAGAAGAGGGAAACUGUGGAGGGAUAUAAAAUAAUUGAAUAAAUUUAAUAAAUAAAAAGGCUAUUUUAUGGAU